AUGCGGAGGAUCCGAGCGUUAUCCGGAUUUAUUGGGUUUAAAGGGUGCGCAGGCGGCCAUUUAAGUCAGCGGUUAAAUCGUGGGGCUCAACCCCAUUCUGCCGUUGAUACUGGGUGGCUUGAUUGCGGUCGAGGUUGGCGGAAUUCGUUGUGUAGCGGUGAAAUGCAUAUAUAUGACGAAGAACACCGAUUGCGUAGGCAGCUGACCAGACCGCAAAUGACGCUCAUGCGCGAAAGUGCGGGGAUCGAACAGGAUUAGAUACCCUGGUAGUCCGCACAGUAAACGAUGAAUACUUGUUUUCGGCGAUAUAAUGUCGGAGGCAAAGCGAAAGCGAUAAGUAUUCCACCUGGGGAGUACGCCGGCAACGGUGAAACUCAAAGGAAUUGACGGGG
rnacentral:rRNA from 1 species